rnacentral:lncRNA from 1 species
UGAAAUUCUAUCAGAACAAAUGUUUUCACUAUGUUAAACCAUAAGAUAUGUUAAUGUUGUAUGAUUGACAAUGAGACAACUAUCAAACCGAAUUCAAAAUACCUGGAUUUUUGAGUAGUACUAUGUUUUCUGCCAAUUCAUCUGCUAUCAAUAAACAGGUUAGUUUUACGGUUUGAACCAUGAAUUUGUAUCAAACCCCUAAAGCCAAUGAAGUUUCCAGCAACACAAGUCUACUAUGAUAAUGUCCUUUCCUAUAACCUUGAAUACCAAUCAAAC